rnacentral:rRNA from 1 species
UACAGAGGUCCCAAGCGUUGUUCGGAUUUACUGGGCGUAAAGGGCGCGUAGGCGGCCUGCUAAGUCGAACGUGAAAUCCCUGGGCUCAACCCAGGAACUGCGUCCGAUACUGGUUGGCUUGAAUCCGGGAGAGGGAUGUGGAAUUCCAGGUGUAGCGGUGAAAUGCGUAGAUAUCUGGAGGAACACCGGUGGCGAAGGCGACAUCCUGGACCGGUAUUGACGCUGAGGCGCGAAAGCCAGGGGAGCAAACGGG